CCUACGGGUGGCAGCAGUGAGGAAUAUUGGUCAAUGGACGAGAGUCUGAACCAGCCAAGUAGCGUGAAGGAUGACUGCCCUAUGGGUUGUAAACUUCUUUUAUAAAGGAAUAAAACGAGGCACGUGUGCCUUUUUGCAUGUACCUUAUGAACAAGGAUCGGCUAACUCCGUGCCAGCAGCCGCGGUAAUACGGAGGAUCCGAGCGUUAUCCGGAUUUAUUGGGUUUAAAGGGAGCGUAGAUGGGUUGUUAAGUCAGUUGUGAAAGUUUGCGGCUCAACCGUAAAAUUGCAAUUGAUACUGGCAGUCGUGAGUACAGUUGAGGUAGGCGGAAUUCGUGGUGUAGCGGUGAAAUGCUUAGAUAUCACGAAGAACUCCGAUUGCGAAGGCAGCUUACUAAACUGCCACUGACAUUGAUGCUCGAAAGUGUGGGUAUCAAACAGGAUUAGAUACCCCGGUAGUC
rnacentral:rRNA from 1 species